CAGCUGCUCAUUUUUACAUGUACUUUAUUUUGCGACAAAGUUGAAACUACGCGAGACUAUUUCCAGUUUUCGUUUCUUCGCUGUAAAAUGAAAACAAUCACGGAUAAAUGAAGAACAGCUGCCUUAUUGCAAUAAUGCUACCCUUUUAUACAAAUACCACAUUAAAUAGUACCCUUAAUGUAUUUGGUAUGUUGUUACUUUAAAAUGCAUGUUUACUCUAGCUUAUUGAUAAUGUGGUAUAAAGCCAAAUUUAAAUUAAUUUUUGAGUUUUUUUAAUAGUAUUGGGUUAAUAUGUAACUAUUAAUUGGAAUGAUUUUCUGGGUUGUAACUGGCAUAGAGUUGAAACAUUUCACAACUCAGCUACCUCUUAAGAUUUAAAAUAAUUAAAAUGGAAAAUUAACACAAGUAAUAUACAGAAGCCGA